CGCUAGUAAUCGCAGAUCAGCAUGUUGCGGUGAAUACGUUCCCGGGCCUUGUACACACCGCCCGUCACACCAUGAGAGUCGGGAACACCCGAAGUCCGUAGCCUGACCGCGAAGGGGGGCGCGGCCGAAGGUGGGUUCGAUAAUUGGGGUGAAGUCGUAACAAGGUACC
rnacentral:rRNA from 1 species